rnacentral:lncRNA from 1 species
GCGCGUCCCGGCCACCCCCGAACUGGCGGCACAGGCGAGGAAGUGGCGGGGACCCGAAGCCUAGAGUAACCCCCAGGAUCCAGACGGACCCAUCCAUCUACCGGAGGGGACUCCAAGCCCCCAGGGAGAGGCAGGAAUGGUCGAUGGGGAAACUGAGGCAACCAUUUGUCCAAGACCACUCAGUAAGCGAGUGGAGAUGCCAGGAUUCAAGCCCAGGGACUCCGACUCCAGAGGCAGCCUCGUGGUGAACAAUGGAGCAUCGGUGUGGAGGCAGGAGCAUGCCUGGGGCGACCUCCCGCGGGCCCUCCUAAAGGCCCCCACAGCGAGCUUUAGGUUUCCGAUGAGGAACAAAGGCACAGAGAAGUCAAGAAACUUGCCAAAGUCACACAGCUAGCAAGUGGUGGAAGAGCU